rnacentral:rRNA from 1 species
CAUGGCUUUUUAGAUUAUAAUAAAAAGUCUGUUCUGCUCAGUGAUUAUUUAAAUAGCCGCAGUAUAUUAACUGUGCAAAGGUAGCAUAAUAAUUAGUUUCUUAAUUAGGGGCUGGAAUGAAUGAUUGAACGAAAGUGUAGCUGUCUUUAUCUGAAGGAUUAUUGAAUUUUAUUAUUAAGUUAGAAAGCUUAAAUUUUUUUAAAAGACGAGAAGACCCUAUAGAGUUUAAUAGUUUUGUUUUACUAAAUAUUAGUAAUUUUUUUAAAAUAAUAUUAUUUAGUUGGGGUGACUUAAAGAUUGAGAAAAUUCUUUAAUUGUUUUAUUGAUGAUUAUUAAAUAAUUAAUCUAAAUUUUUAAAUUUAAAAUAAAUUACCUUAGGGAUAACAGCGUAAUUUUUCUUUAAAGUUCUUAUUAAAAGGAAAGUUUGCGACCUCGAUGUUGGAUUAAAUUAAAUUUUUGGCGCAGUAGCUAAAGGAUUAGGUCUGUUCGACCUUUAAUAUUUUACAUGAUCUGAGUUUAAACCGGUGUAAGCCAGGUUGGAUUCUAUCUUUAAUUUUAUAGCAUAUUUUAGUACGAAAGGACCAUAUAUACAUUAAAGAUUAAUUG